rnacentral:rRNA from 1 species
GGAGGGUGCAAGCGUUAUCCGGGAAUUAUUGGGGUUUAAAGGGGUGCGUAGGCGGGAUGAUAAGUCAGUGGUGAAAUCUUACAGCUUAACUGUAAAACUGCCAUUGAUACUAUCGUUCUUGAAUACAAUUGAAGUGGGCGGAAUGUGUCAUGUAGCGGUGAAAUGCUUAGAUAUGACACAGAACACCGAUUGCGAAGGCAGCUCACUAAGUUGUUAUUGACGCUGAGGCACGAAAGCGUGGGGAGCGAACAGAAUUAGAUACCCUGGUAGUCCACGCCGUAAACGAUGAUUACUCGGUAUUGGCGAUACACUGUCAGUGCCCAAGCGAAAGUUUUAAGUAAUCCACCUGGGAAGUACGUCGGCAACGAUG